rfam:Schistosoma mansoni strain Puerto Rico chromosome 1, complete genome
AUCCAGCUUCGGAGUCCCAAAUAGGACGAAACGCGCGUCCUAGAU